rnacentral:sRNA from 1 species
GCCUAGCCCUGAUGGAAACGGCAUCCUUUUUCUGGCUUCUUUAGACAGAAAAAGAUAUAGUGUACAGCAGGAAAUUGC